GAUGAACGCUGGCGGCGUGCCUAAUACAUGCAAGUCGAGCGAACGGACGAGAAGCUUGCUUCUCUGAUGUUAGCGGCGGACGGGUGAGUAACACGUGGAUAACCUACCUAUAAGACUGGGAUAACUUCGGGAAACCGGAGCUAAUACCGGAUAAUAUUUUGCACCGCAUGGUUCAAAAGUGAAAGACGGUCUUGCUGUCACUUAUAGAUGGAUCCGCGCUGCAUUAGCUAGUUGGUAAGGUUACGGCCUACCAAGGCAACGAUGCAUAUACGACCUGAGAGGGGGAUAGGCCACAUGAGAACGGAGACGCGGACCAUACGCCUGCGGGACGGCGCAGAAGGGAAUCUGCCGCAGUGGGCGAAAGCCUGACGGAGCAACGCCGCGUGAGAUAUGGAGGUCUUCGGAGCGUAAUACUCGGUUAUUAGGUAAGAACAUAUGUGGAAGUAACUGUGCACAGCGUGACGGUACCUAAUCAGAAAGCCACGGCUAACUACGUG
rnacentral:rRNA from 1 species